ensembl:lncRNA
UUGGCAAGGCUCUUUUGCGUUCGAUCUAAUAAUAAACCCAAACCAUCCAUUGCAUGAAAGUAAUGAGUCUGAACUUGCCUGAACUUGCCUCGGGGAGCUGAGAUCCAAAGCUCUGUCAUUCCCUCAAAAGCCUUUCUCCUUUUUGCAAGGACAGGAUGUUGUUGUGACAAGGCAUCCUUGCUGUUUGCUCAGCCUCUCUCCCUCGUGAUGAAAUCCCUCUAUAGCGACUCUGGAGGUCCUACUUCAGCCCUGGUUUUUGGGCAUACAAAGUGCUGCCCAACUAAUCUCCGCUCUUUUCUAUGAGCGAUUUAUGGAGGCUUGGAGGACAUUGAGACUCAGCACAUUCUCUGUUUUCCAAAUGUUGGUGCAAUGAGAGGGGCACUUUUCCUGCCAGUGGGAACCUGAAAGACCUGAUGGGCUUUUCUGGCAGGACUCAGUGUCAGUGAAAGGGGCGCCAAGGAGCCUGUGGAGCAAGCGGAAGUACAAAUGUGUGCUAGCUUUGACUUCCACUGGGAACGACAGAAAAAAUAUUUUGACUUGAUUUUACAGCUCAGUUUCUUGUUAGCACAGAGUGAAUGCUCAGCCGGUGAUCAGAAAUGCCCUUGCUUAAUUUGCAUCAGUUCCCGUCCAGUUAUUAGGCACAAUUGACAGGAGAAGAACAAACAAACAACCUCCACAUUGAAGAGCCACAAAGUUGCAUUUUCUCCACAUUACUGAAGCAAGUAGUAAAUCCAAAGGCAGCUACUGAUGUGCAAACACUACAGCUAAUGGCAGCCAGGCAAACAAGCUGUUCUGGUGGAAGGUAAACACUGGGAAAAAAAAGGAAGAGAAAAACCUAAAUGAAUGAGAUGAUGGUGACACACACACAAGAAACCCCCAAAUUACAAAAAUCUGAGAAGGAGAGCUUCCCCCUUUUUGUUGGGUUUUGGUGCCAAGGAUCUCCUCAUCUGCUGAGAUGGUGUAAAAGAGACAACUGGGAGACACUGGGCAGGGGGUGUUUGCUGCAGGAAGCAAUUCCCUCACGAUGUCACCACAUUUUGUCUCACAGGACAGACACACUGACAUACUGCCCUUUAUUCAAGGAGGAUGGGCUCCAUCAGCACAGUCUGAGGUGUGUUUUGACACUAUUUCUGCCUUUCCUCAUGUGUUAUCUAAGAACUCAUUCAGCAGUGAGAUGUGGCAAGUAACCCCAGUGGAUUUUAAACUCUCAUCAGUGCUUCCAUGCUGAAACUACUAAUAAAGGUAUUAAGACUGAGUAGGAAUAAAGCACUUUCCAAUCAAUAGCAGCACGCAUUUUUGUUUGAUAGCCUCUUUAAAAUAGGCCAUCAAACAAAAUUCUGAUUUUGCUUCUAAAUCUAAUUUCUUAUGAACAACAGUUAAAAUGCCUUAGUAAAAAACAAGGCAAUGUAGCUUGAUCCUAAAGCCAGGAAAUAUUGCAGAGCUGGCUUUUAAGCUAAGACACAAAGCUGCAUCAGACAUAAUGUCAACAUAUUUCAAAAAAAUAUUGGCAGCUUAAGGAGUAACUUUCUUGACUCAACAGUGUUACCAGCUAAAGGUAAACAAAAUCCUAAGUCUCCAUAAGGCCACACCUCAGCACAAACUUCAUCUUUCUGUCUUCUGAGCCUACAAAUAUUUACACAUUUAAUGUUAAGUUUUUAGAGGUUUGGUGACCAAAAGUUAAUAGUCAAAGGGACUAUUCACAUGACUGAAGUUAAGCCUCUGACUAUAUGUUUGAACUGUCAGGACUUUGCACAUCUUUUGUUCAACUGAAAGGGAUAAAGGCAAUUUUUUUUCUCGUGCUUGAGCUGGAAAUCCUAAACCUGUUUCCCACUGAAUUGUGUCACAAGGGCAUUUUUAUAUGACUUUCAAGGCUUGUCAAUGUAUGUGCAGAAGCAAAAGUGACACAUACAGUAUUUAAAAUGCUGAGAUAAUCGGAGACAAGGUGCCUGAAAAAUCAUAAUGUAGGGAAGCAAACCAAAGACCACAGAGAUGUAGAAUAAUUGAAUUUACUGUUACUGUGAAUGAGUUUGUAAGUCCUUUAGCAGAGAAAUAAUGUAGUAUAUAUAACUUCUAUUAUUGGACUUAUCAGGAAAAAUAUCAAGUGAUUAUCAAUAAAAAUUGUGUUUACUUCUGCUGUGCUCAUGACCAGUCUGUGCUUGCUCUCAGUAAGCAGUUGAAUUACACUACAACUAGUGUAUAUAAAAAACAAGGCUGAAGUUUUCCCAAGUCCUGGAUUUCUGCAAACAAAUACUUGCUUCCACAGAAUAUGUUUUAAAUGGCCAGAAACACUGUUGACACAGCCAAAAGGAAAAUGAAAAUUAGAUACGCAAGCUUCAGACAAUUAAAUGAGUUCAAGAAGAAUUUCUCUGUACCCUCCACAAUCAGGACAUCUUAGCUGCCUCCAGUUACUAUGUGAUAAUAUGACAAAAAUUGUGUGGCUGUACUAAAUACUAGCAAACCAUACAUUCUACUUUCCCAAAGAAUUCAGUGUCAAAGAAACCUGUCUCUUCAGGGAAAAACAAAAUUUGUGAUUUUAAAGAUUUGUGACUUAUCACAAAAGACACAUUCACUCCUCACCAUUCAAGAAAACCACACAUAAAUCACAGAACUUUUAGACACCACAAAAUCCCCAGUGUAGUGAAGGAAUAUAACGAAUUUAGGAAUAUGUUCCUAAAUAAAGCAUUUUCCUACAUGGUUUCCUCUAUAAGGGUUAGGCUCAUUCAGAAGUAAAAAAUUCCACACAAUCUUUCCAACUGAGAACUACAAACUAAGAACUCAAAUUCUCAUCAUUUUUAAACACUCCUAUGCAAAUGUUUAUGAUUGAUUCAUAAAAAUGUAAAACUAAUCUAAAAAAAAAAAGACGGUUGACUUGUUACUUUGCUCAUUAAUUUGCCAGACCCCAAAAAAAAAUCCCCAAACCAAAAAUGGGGCGGGGGAGAAGGCUCUAUUUAACUGUUG